CUCAUCAUCUCAACAAUCCUAGGAAACAGAUUUCAUCAUAACUGUCAUUUUAUAGAGGAGGAAACUGAAGUUCAGAGGGGGAUGUAUGAAAAAUGCUUCUCUACUCUCAGUGAGGCUUUGAAGAAUACACAGCCCUCUAUGCCACUCUAUGAAGAGAGCCAAGAAAAAGAAGAUCACUCCUAAAAGCAGUGUGCUUUCCCUCAAUCUGAACACUGAGGUUCCUAGGUGAUAGAUAAUGCUCUUGGCCAACACAGGAUCUCAUUUGAAGCUGACGGAGGAACUAUUCAUGGAUAGGCCAUUCCUUUCUGCUGUAAGAAUCAGUGAGCAAAGGAAAGAGAUUCAUGUGCCGCUUCAUUGGCUUAAGAUGAUUCAUCAAUUCCACUCCUUCCGCCUACAGAUGUCUAAAUUUCAGUUUUCUGUGAAGCUACAAAGCAUGAACUGGCAUCUACGCAUUGAGUCAGAGGACGCCAAGUGUUAAACUGUAAUACCGCCAACAGUUCGGUGUCAAGCCUCUUAACCUACUUUCCGGUGUAGACGUCAUUAACAAUGCUCUUUGCCCUUGGGCACUAAAAGGAAAAGACUCUGGUAACCCUACACCAGUGGUUCCACUUAAGUAACUACCUGAUGCAUAGUUAUCUUUCCAGGCUAUCCGGUGAAGGGAGUGGAAACAUUUGCUCCUGGGUCCCUGCCUGACAAGCUGGUUAACGCUUGUCAAAGAAACAGCUCACUGUUUCCGAUGCUCAGUCUCUGACCCGUACUUGAAUUUUCACACCCAUGAUAACCAGAUAAUACCCUGGUUUGUGUUUGCUGGGCCACAAGACAGCACAAACAUCAUUGUGUCCACUUAAAACACACACACAUGAAAUAAUGCAUUUAAGAGGAAACACUGACGUGCCUUGGCUAACUUUCUAGAUGCAUCUGUGCUAAUUUGAAAUAUCAUCCCUCGCAGUCUCCAGGUGAUGAGUUUAGAAACUCUGUCAUCAAAAUCUUCUUUAUUUGUUCAAGUAAAUAUAUUAAGUAUUCAAAUAUUCACUAUGGAUCUGCUUAAAGAGCUACUGUAUACUUUUUUUUUUUUUCAACGUAUUAAGACUGCCCCUGGCUAUCAACUUGAGUCUUGACCAGUUGAGCUAGCUAAUUAGGUUGAAUAUUCCAGAUAAAUGAAAGUCCCUGCAGAGAGAGAUAAUUCAAGCCAUUCCCUAUUUUAUAACGAACAUUGUAAAAAGUGAUUUCUUCAUUAGGAGAAGACGGGGCUGCUGCAAGGCGGUGGAAAUCUGCAGGAAGUUCUCCUCCAAUUUUGCAAAGGGAAUAUUUUCAACAGGCAUAUCCUCAACAUUUAAAAAUGUCCCCUGGGGACUAAGUAGUCCAACUUUUGGAAGCCGGCAAUUUUUCAACACCAGAUCAAAAGUGACAUUUCACAAGAGGCACAAAAAGAGAAAAAAGGAGAAGAAAGUCUCGUCUGCUUGUGUAUAAAUGAGUUCUGUAUAUAAUCACAUGCUCAUAUGUAACUCUGACCUGAGCUCUCAGCCAGGAAAUAUCUGUGGCCACCAUUAAACAGGAUAUGGGCCAUCUUGCCCAUGGCUUUGCUGGUUCUGAGCAGCACACAGUGCGUUUUUGUCCCAGAGUGAAAACAGAAAAUUCACCUUUAUUUGCUGGCUUUGAGUUGACUUUGGACGCCUGGUCACACUAGGCUGACAACCUUCUGAUGUGUGAUAUUCUUAGAACUUUUCAUAGAACUGGAUGCACUGAGCAUCUCUGCUUCUGCCAGACCUCCAUGUAUUUUGCUGAAGACAACAAUGCUGCACUCUAGCCUUAUAUACCCCUCUGGGUACAUGGUGGAGUUUAGUGUAGUGAUCUACUCCAAGUAACCAGGUAUAUCCCAAGAGACCCUUGUCCACAUUUCCAAAGCUUCAAGUUACUUCUCCACCUGGCUGGAUAAAAGAAUAGUUUCCAGUUCAACCCAUAGGUCUAGGGUAAUCAAUGUCUCAUUCCGAGAGGCAGCAUGACAAUCUUUCUGUUAUCCAUUUUAAGUAAGCCUUUCUUUAUGCUCACCCUACAUUGCUUGUAAUUAAUGUCUCAUUAAGUAUAGAGCCAGGGAAGCUGAUUGCCCACUGACUAUCUUCUGCCACAAUAGGAACACAUGCAGAAUCGGAGCACAGAUUGCCUUCAGUAAGUUACAGCCAUCUUCAAGCCUUAGUAUCUGCUGCAUCAGUCCUGAUUUCCUUGCUUAAAUUUGAAGAGUCUCUGUCAUCUGGUCUCAAGAUAUUUAAUCCAUGCUAUAUACCAAGUGAUCGCUUACAUUAAACCCAAGGCUGCCCUUCCUGCUUUUCUUUUCUUCUUCUACUCUUCUUUUUCUUCUUCUUUUUUUCUUUUUUUUUUUUUUUUUUUUUUAGAGAGACAAGGUUUCACUCUUCACCCAAGCUAGAGUGCAGUAGAGUGCAGUGGUGUAACCAUAGCUCACUGCAACCUUGAACUCCUGGGCUCAAGAAAUCCUCCAACCUCAGCCUCCCAACAACCUGAGACUAUAAUUGUGCACCACUAGCUAAUUUUUUUUUUUUAGUACAAAUGGGAAUCUCCCUAUGUUGCCCAGGAUCGUCUUGAACUCGCAGAUGUGAGCCACUAUGCUGGGCCUCUGCUUUUCUUAAUAUCCUAAACUUGUCAUAACUGUUUCUACCUCCAUUACUUUCCUCUUACACUGCUUCUAGUAUUUGCUGUCAAGUGACUUCAUGCUUAUAUCUACUGAUAAUUACAUUUUAUUGCAUGCUGGAUAUGUGCCGAGUACGAUUAGACCCUUUGCAUAUGGUAUAUUGCCUUACCUUUAUAAUGCCCAAGAAAGAUAAGUAUUUUUAUCCCUCUUACACCAAACAAGAAUCUGAGGCUCAGAAAGUGCUGUGGAUGCUGAGGUUCCACCCCAAGCACUACCCCAUUUUCAGGACCAAGGCACUCAUUCUCUCAUUCUCCUUGCUGCUGCGGGUGUUGGCUGCAAACAGCUCACACUUUCAUCCCUCCCCAGGAAUUAGAAGGGAACGGCUUUUCCCUCCUCAGAGAUAGCCCAAACUUUAUGACUUACUGGUGCAGGGCUAUCAAGGUUCAGCCCCCUUGCCUAGUUCAAGACAUUGGUGAAGGACCAUGACAGCUCUAGAGCUCCCCGUGGAUCAGCUAAGGACUCUAGCAUUACCUCACUGAGGUUCAGCUUCUCUUUCUGCCCAGUGAUGCUUCACUCUCCCCUCAUCAACAUUGCUCCUGAGAGCACCUCUAGUAAAUUCCCCUGAUACAGCUCCCACACACAGAUCUCAGAACCUCAGAGUCUAUUUCCUGGAGAAACCAACUUGAGAAGGAAGAUCGCUGUAUUUGCCCAAAAUAAGGAACAAGUCUGUAGUGGAGCUGGGACUUGAGCACAUCUGUAGCCAGUUCAAAGACUGUGGUCUUUUCUCUUUGCUGCUCUUCUUCCAUCCAAAGCUCACGCAUCUUUUCCAUCUCAGACAAGUGUGUUUUUUUGUUUCAUGUUGCUCUAAAAACAGAUGGUCAGCAUUUUAGAAAUCAGCAGAUUUCAGCUGGGUGUGGUGGCUCGUGCCUGUAAUCCUAGGACUUUGGGAGGCUGAGGUGGGUGGAUUUCUUGAGGCCAGGAGUUUGAGACCAGCCUGGGCGACAUUGCAAGAGCCUGUCUCUAUAAAAAAUACAAAAAUUAGCCGGGCAUGGUGGCAUGCAACUGUAGUCCCAGCUACUCGGGAGGCUGAGGUGGAAGGAUCGUUUCAGCCCAGGAGGUCAAAGGCUGCAGUGAGCUGUGAUGAAGCCAUUACAUUCCAGCAACCUGGGCAACAGAGUGAGACUUUGUCUCUAAAGAAAAUAAAUAAUAAAACUCCUAAAAAAAUAAAUAUAAAUGUUCAGAUUUCACAAAAAAAUACAGAUAUCUUACUUUUUUUUGAAAAUCAGAAUAGCCAGUCUCACUGGUUCUCCUCUGUCACAUGAGCACAGUGGCUGCAGUGGGAUAGCGCUGGGCACUGUAGAAACUUGGCAAUUUGCUGCUGCAUGCGCCAUCCCUGGGCAAUCCCUGCCAUGUGGCCUAGGGACAAUUGCCAUUGAUCAUGUUGCUAGUCUGUUUUUCUUUAUUUAUUUCUUUUAAUGAACAGUUCUCUAUAUUCAUGUAUCUACC